CAAAAAGAGGUCUUACUGAACCUAGUACUUUGAAAAUCGUAUCAGGAAAAAGAAACGGAAUAAGGAAAUGAAAAUCGAAUAAGGAAAUAGAAACCGAACAAGGAAAUGAAAAUCAAAUCAGGAAAUAGAAACCCGAAUAAGGAAAUAGAAACUGAACAAGGAAAUGAAAAUCGUAUAAGGAAAUAGAAACCGAAUAAGGAAAUAAAAACCGAUUAAGGAAAUGAAAAUCGAAAAUAAGGAAAUACAAACCGAAAAAGGAAAUAGAAAAUGAACAAGGA
rnacentral:lncRNA from 1 species